GGUUCUGUAGUGUAGUGGUUAUCACUCGGGAUUUUGACCUUGUCCAUCUUCCCGAAACCCAGGUUCGAACCCUGGCAGGACCU